UACGAAGGGGGCUAGCGUUGUUCGGAAUUACUGGGCGUAAAGCGCGCGCAGGCGGUCUUCCAAGUCAGUGGUGAAAGCCUGGAGCUCAACUCCAGAACUGCCAUUGAAACUGUUAGACUUGAGUACGAGAGAGGUGAGUGGAAUUCCCAGUGUAGAGGUGAAAUUCGUAGAUAUUGAGAAGAACACCAGUGGCGAAGGCGGCUCACUGGCUCGUAACUGACGCUCAGGCGCGACAGCGUGGGGAUCAAACAGG
rnacentral:rRNA from 1 species